rnacentral:misc_RNA from 1 species
GAAAUGCGAUAAGUAAUGUGAAUUGCAGAAUUCCGUGAAUCAUCGAAUCUUUGAACACACAUUGCGCCCUCUGGCAUUCCGGGGGGCAUGCCUGUCCGAGCGUCAUUACGCACCCUCAAGCCCGGCUUGUGUGAUGGGCCCCGGCGUCUCGUUCGCGAGACGGGCCCGAAAGGCAGCGGCGGCGUCGACCCGAUGAGCCCGAGCGUAUGGGGACUUCUGUCACACGUUCGCGGUGCGGACCGGCGCCUGCUUGACUUUUCUGAUUAUCCAGGUUGACCUCGGAUCAGGUAGGGAUACCCGCUGAACUUAAGC